rnacentral:lncRNA from 10 species
UGGUAUGGGGACCAAGGGCAAAAGGAUCAGUGAUUUCAGCAGAUGCCUUUGAGCCCCGAGUCUCUGGCUGUGGACUAGUCCAGUAGAAAGAGUGUCUUGGAGUGUGGCAGAGUCCCAGUCCCCUGUCUUUCUUACUGUCAAAACCAAGGUUUGGGCAAUCGAUGAUCUAGCUAAAAAAACGAUGUUUUUCAGCCUGUCCUUUCUGGGCUCCUCCUGUCCCAAACACAGAUGUGAAGCAAUGUGCGAGAAUUCCUAUUCUACAAUCGCUGUGUAUAUUUAACACUAUGAAGCUUCUCUUUUUUGCCAGUCUGACGGAUAUGAUGGGGCAUCGCUUACUGCUUUCAUUCCCAUUUCCUUCAUCAUCAUUGAGGGUCUGGGAGAGAGCUUUGGGAUCGAGACU